rnacentral:rRNA from 1 species
UACGUAGGGUGCGAGCGUUAAUCGGAAUUACUGGGCGUAAAGCGUGCGCAGGCGGUCUGUUAAGACAGAUGUGAAAUCCCCGGGCUUAACCUGGGAACUGCAUUUGUGACUGGCAGGCUAGAGUAUGGCAGAGGGGGGUAGAAUUCCACGUGUAGCAGUGAAAUGCGUAGAGAUGUGGAGGAAUACCGAUGGCGAAGGCAGCCCCCUGGGCCCAAUACUGACGCUCAUGCACGAAAGCGUGGGGAGCAAACAGG